rnacentral:lncRNA from 1 species
UACUAUGGUGAAAAUCACACUAACGGCUUAUCAUACAUAUUUAAGAAGCUAAUAUCUAGCCCACAAUUUCAGAGGUACAGUGAAUUUGCAAACAUUAUCCCUCGACGAAGGCUCUCACUAGCUGCUGUAAACUUGUUCUCUAAAUCAGCUUCUCCGACAGCAUUAGCAGCAGCUUUCAACUGGAAAAACCCGAAAAGGGGGGGAAGAGGAAGAUAAUAAAUUGUAUUAUGGGUAUUAUGAUCCAACAGUCUCGAAAAACCAACUUUAUGCAGGUUAGGUAAUUGGUAUGCACUAUUAGGUCGUACUAACAGUCUAACGUGAAUAAGCAUCAUCUAUUUGGCAUACACGGAUCAGAGUUGUCCAGCCAUCUGUUGGCCUGAAGUAGAGAAUGCAUAUAUAUCUUUACAGAAAGGGGCCAAAAUAGUCCAGGAAUAGAGGCACCCAACAAUUCGUGCAUCCUAUCCUAACAUUUGCUAGAAAGUCUCAACAAUUAUAUUUCACUUUCUUCAAAUCAUUAAAUGCAUGUUAAUCUCAUAUUGGAAAAAGGCUCCGUUGAAUUGGUUUGCAUUACUAUGCCUGUUUAUUCACCUAUUUAUAAACUUUUGCUCGAAUGACAAAUUCAUAGGAUUUAUGAAAAAAAUCGAUUGGAUUACCUGGUUUAAAAAUUCAUCCAGCCUUCUAGCUUGUCGUAUAAUGCUACCUUCAAAGAUAUCUGUCUUUUCUGUAACUUCUUUAAAAGAUUUUCCCUUAAAAAAGAAAAUUUAAAGGAACAAUGAGUUUAAACAUGAUAAGUACCAACAUAGUUUAGCAUUCUAACUAAAAAGAUGAAUUGACUCAAAACCAAGCAAUCGAUUCAAGUUGUUUUUACAAAUAAAUAUAUACAAAAAUCCUCAAAAAAUAACAGUUAUACCCAAAGUGAUAAAUUAGAGGCAUAAAAUCUUAAUUAGUGUAGAAUAACCAGCGAUCUACUGAGAAAAAAAGGAAGGUACUA